AGAUUGAUUAAAAUGAAAUUUUCAUGAGCAUUUUCUAUCAAUUUAAACCAUAGUUACAUUGGACACUCCAUUUUUUGAGAUUGGUGAUUCUGCUAAACUAAGUCAUCUUCCAUUGACUCGUAAAUGUAUUCUCACAAUAAGCAGAAAGUUCUUGAGGAAAAUUAAUUUCUCUAAACUUCUCCCUAAUGUUGCGGUAAGAAAUAAGUUUUAUUAGACAAAACUUUUUUCAUUCGUCUUUUUAAUUUGAAAUUUAUUCUCAUUAUAUAGAUAAUCCACCUUGAAAAUUACGCUCAAAACUGUCUUUGCUCUGCAUUAGUUCAUUUACUGUCCAAAGCGAAUCAAAUUAAAGGCUUGAGCGUUGAGCUUGAAUCAAAGUAUAAGAGUCGCUAUGAUAAAAGUCAUGCAUGUAAAACUUUGCAAAGAGAAGAAAAAAGAAUAACAUCAUUUCUGAGUGAUAUUGAAUUUUUAGGAAUCAGUAAUGACUUAAUAGUUACAAGUUAUCUCAAUACUUUUGGCCAUCUUAAGAAAUUGAAAUCGCUCGGUUCUCCAAAAUAUUGCCAGGCUGUAAAUUUACUCCAUGUUCUUAAAUUUGCCCAAUUUUUGACGAAUCUCGAGCGACUUGUUGCUUUUUGUAAUGAUGAGUCUGAUGAUUUUGUUCGCGUCCAAGACCAAUUACCGAUAUUUAGAAAUAUUUUACAUCUUCGCCUUGAAAAUAUUUCAUCAAAUGGUUUGACUUUUACAAAAUUCUUGAACUUGUGUCCAAAUUUACUCAACCUUUCUCUGGACAUGAAUCCAUAUCGAAUGGAACUAAUUCACAAAAUCAACAUAAACUUCAAUGUCCAAAGAUUGGAUUUACAUUCCAAUUCGGAUCGAGAAAAGAUACUAAAAUUUAUGGAAAAGUUUCCAAACUGUCGAUACUUGAGUAUUUGGUAUAAUGCUUCACUAUCUUCAUCUGGUUUGAUCCAGAUUAUAAGUACAUUACCAUAUUUGUCAUUAUUGCAGGUCAAAAAUGAUUGUACCGAUUUAGCAGCAAUACAAAUCAUCAAAAACUAUUGUCACUCGCAGAAUCCUAAAAUUGAUGUUUACUUUGGUUAUUCAAAUAAGAAACUAAUGAUGUCUAAUGAACUUUAUCGAAAGUUUGAUAAUCCAUUUCUACAUAAAUGAAGUCUAAAGAUUAAAAGUUUCUGAUUCUACAUUUGUAAUCCAACCUAACAAGAAGAAUCGAGCUGAUUAAAAAUACCGGAAUAACCUCCAACCUUGUCUCGAGAUUCAAGUUGAUAAAAAGAAUCAGUCGCUCCAAUGGCAACUAAUAAUUCAAAAAUUCAUAAACUCAAUGUAUUCGUUACUACAUUUAAGUUAUACAAUCGAGGUCGAAAGUAAUUUUUCAUAUCCCGAUUGGUAUGAUUGUGAAGUGUUUUACUUGAAACUAACAAUGCAAACAAACUCAUCUAACACGAUGAUAAAGACACUUGUUACGUUACUAAAUUCUUCGAUUUUUGUCCAAAUUUACUACAAAAAAUUAUUUCAAUGUAUGAAUG